CACUUGCGGAUUAGUUUUGCAGACGAGGAUGGAUAUUGAGGGAGAGACAGGCACAGCAAUUCACUAUCAGUCAUUAUUUUGGGACAAGCUGUAAAGUAGCCUAUAGCAGCAAUGGUCUACAUCAUAGUUGAAUAAUAUCCGUGGUUUUGAAUUCUGCCCUUGGCAUUCCGUAGGCAGCCCGAUGUGAGUGAACGAGAUCGGAAUUCAGGUCCAGGUUUGGAAUUUACAAUAUUAUAUCUGUCGUCGUUGAUAGAAGAGAAGAAGGGGUUUAAGGAAGCGCUCAAGAUCGAAAGCGGUGCGAUUGGUUAAGGUCAGGUAGGAAUCGGGGAGCCGUUCGUUUAGGGAGCCGUUCGCUUAAAACCCCGUCCCCGUAUGCCUUGCGUUUAGACGCAAAUUCAUUUUCGUCUAUCCAUGUUCAAAUCGGGCAACUAUCCCAUGGCGGCGGAUACUGCGCCCACCACCAUGCAUGGGAGUUGGUUCAACAACACGGGCUACAUGGAAAACAAUAUGCCCGUGGCGGUGGAGAAACCGAAGAAAGCAUUUUACCUGGUCAGAAUGAUGUCUCUCAACAACAAUAAGAAAGGGCAACAAACCAAGCAUCAGCAAACCAACCACCAGCAUCACCAGAAUAACAAUAUGCCCUUCAUGAUACACUGUCACAUCGGAAAAGAGAUCAAACACAUUUGCAGCAACUGCAGUCGCGGGAACGAAACCCAGGACGCAGAGGAGGUUGAAAGGCGGUCCGCAAUGCGUUCCGAGUCUCUGGUCUCUGGCACACACACACCGCCCAUCCGCCGCCGGAGCAAGUUUGCCACUCUGGGCCGUCUCUUGAAGCCCUGGAAGUGGAGGAAGAAGAAGAGUGAGAAGUUCAAGCAGACCUCUACCGCGUUGGAGAGGAAGAUGUCGGUAAGGCAAAGCAGAGAAGAGCUGAUCAAGAGAGGUGUGCUGAAAGAGAUCUUUGAGAAAGCAACCGUGGAGUUCCGAUCCUCGAUGGAGGGUGGAGUCUGCUCUCGGGAGCCCUCUAGUGUGAAGUCGUCCAUGGUCCUGCCUUCCAAGAAAUCUGUUGGUUUUCCCAGCAAUGUUCAGGACAACGUCGCCAAGACCCCCAUGUACCACAAACAGCCCCCUGCGCUGCCCCCCAAACCUUUCAACAGGAUCCCCAACCACAGCACAGACUCUUGUCAGCAGAUGAAGCUGCCUUGUAUGCCAGGCCAGGGAGGCAAGCCAUCUCCUCCUCUACCUCCCAAGAAAUUGAUGAUCUGUGUGCCUCAAGGGGGAAUGGACAACUCUUGCUCCUCACCCUCUCCCCUCGGCACCUUCUCCCAACCGAAGUUCCCCCCUCCACAUGGCCACCAAGGCCAUCCCCCCACCAUGGCCCUCUGCUGCCCUCGCAUCUCACAUCCCUAGCCAACCUCCACCAGGGGCUCAAGGGGGGCGGGAAGCACCAUAACCACGGACACGCACACAACCAAGGCCACCAGCUCCAUCUGCAGUAUGGCUCCAUGCAAGGCCAUGCCCCCAGCCGCAUCAUCGAGGAGCUCAACAAGACGCUGGCCUUCAACCUGCAGAGGCUGGAGAACAAUGCAAUGCAUUCUGGUCAGUGUAGUCUUCUGGACAGAAGCCAGGUGCCCUCUGAGAUCAUCGACGAGGACGACAAAGAGAACAUGCCCAACGAGUCUGACUAUGAGGACCUGCCCAGCAUGUACAAAAACGAGGAUGAUGAUGAUGAUGAGGAUGAUGAAGAUGAUGACGAGGAUGAUGACUCGCUCUUCACAAGUACCCUGGGUCUGAAAGUGUUGAGGAAGGAUUCUCUGGCUGUCAAGCUGAGUAACCGUCCAUCUAAGAGCGAGCUGGAGGAGAAGAACAUCCUGCCCAUGCAGACUGAUGAGGAGAGGCUGGAGUCCAGGCAGCAGAUAGGCACCAAGCUCACACGGCAGUUGAGUCAGAGGCCCAGUGCUGAGGAACUGGAACAGAGGAAUAUCCUGAAACCGCUCAACGAACAGGAGGAGUUGGAGGAGAAGAGGGAAAUAAAACGCAGAUUAACGCGAAAGCUGAGCCAGAGGCCUACGGUGGAGGAGCUGAGACAGGCUAAGAUCCUGAUCCGCUUCAGUGACUACGUAGAGGUGUCCGAUGCCCCGGAACACGACAGACGGGCAGACAAACCCUGGACCCGCCUCACGGCAGCCGACAAGGCAGCCAUACGGAAGGAACUCAACGAUUUCAAGAGCCAUGAAAUGGAAGUGCACGAGUCAAGUCGCCAUUUAACCAGGUUUCACAGGCCGUAGACCAUCACUGUCUAUAGGAACGCCAGACAGACUGGCUGUUUUCCUUCACUGAGAACCAUAAGUGCUGGACAGUAAAUGGUGCCCAUUUCUACAAUAAGGCCAUGUCUUCUGAUUUGAAAUGCCUUUUCAAUACCCUGCUACUCAGUCGGUCGGUACCUUCCCCUCUAGAGACAAAACAGUAGUUGUACACCUUUAGUAGCCCCUCCAACUCCCACAAUUUUCUCAAUGUAACUGACUGACGAGUUCAUCCCACACCUUAGUGCUGAGCUCUCAGGAAGGCGCUCAGUGCUUUGGGGAUGAUGAUAGUGGGAUGGGCUGGUUGGGAUUGGACACCUGCCAUCUCUACUCCACUGACUGGCUGUCAUGGUUACCAGGUACCUAUGCCCCGCCCUUGUCACUGUCUCAUCAUUGGCUUGUCACUAUUGGUGGAAGGAGCCUCCACAUCCUCACUCAAUCAGAAAGGACAUUUUUACUCCCUCUACCCAUGGACGUUGCAAGAGAUGGACUUCAACCACUUGGAGAAUGUUAUCCUUGGUCUGUUAAGAUGAACCUAGUGCUGUUAGUGGAUUAAUCUACAGUGUUUAAUUGGUUAAAGAGAAAAAGAAGUGAGGGGUCUGGUCCAUAAAACAUUUCAGAAUUACGUGCAAUAUUUUCCCUCUGUGCUCUCUCCUUAGGUCAUAGCGCCCUCUGGGGUUCACCCUGUCAUGACCAUGCAAUCCCACCUCUACUUCUCCCCAUGGUGGUCAGUUCAGUUCCCACUGUACUGACAAUGUUGAUCUAUUGCUAACUGUGAAUUUGAAAGUGCAGACAAUGUUUUGUUUACACUCUCCAAAUAUACAUUGUGUUUAUACAGAGGUAUGAAGUAACCAUUUUAAAUAGAAUCAUGCUUCAAUACUGUUCGUUUCAUGUCGGGAUCCUGAAAGGAUGAAAGGGUAACCGUAAUGAAAAAUGUAGCUGGCAGAUAAUGCACUGACUGUAUGUGUUAAGGUUGAACAGCUUUUUACAUAAUUUUUAUUUUUAAAAGUGACACUUUGAUUUUAAACUGUGGGUUAUGUGGCUUUAGGGCAUGUCACAGGUCUCUGAUGUUUGAAUAUAGACUCUUUCAGAGAAGAGCUAUUUUCUGUCCCAAAUCUCAUCCUGUUUUCAUUAUAGUACACUACUUUUGACCAGAGACGCAUAUGGGCCCUGGUCAAAAGUAGUGUACUAAAUAGGGAAUAGGGUUCCAUUUAGGAUGUACAUGUGGCUCGCCAUCCAGGGAUACUUUAUGCUUUUUUCUGUUGACAAUGAAGCUUUUCUCAUUUUGCAGUCUUUUGUUUAAUGAACUCUGCUGACGUGAGUGCACGGCACUCUAUUUAUUUUUCAGUCUUUUCUGUAUAUUUAAGAACAAGUUAUAUUAUUUCUGCUGCUUGGCAAACUGUAUGAAAACCUUUUUAGUUGGCUUGUAAACGGUCCUCUCCCUUUUUUUGUGUUUUUUGUUGCCAUUUUAGGAAAGGCCCCAAUGGGAAUAUCAGGAUUGAAAUGCUAUUGGGCACUGUUUUGAGUUGUUUUAAAAUGCUACGUAUUACUCUUAUAGUUGCAAUAUGAAAAUGUUUGCUUGUCAUAAGACGUAGAUUAGAUCUGGUGAAGGGUCUGAUUGGCCACCUAAGGUAUUAAUGUAUUUGCAUAGGAAAAUGCACCAACAAAAAGACAUCCUCUGUCAUUUUUAACGUCUUUGUAGUUGAGGCCCAAUGGAAUUUCCGAAAACAUUAAGGAACAUCGAAGGUAUUGCACAUAUGUUUGGUUAUCAGGUAAACAUGGGUCAUUAUAUUAUAUAAAAUGUUAGUUUAUUCUCCAUAUUACUUAUUGCUUCGUUUAUUACACAGCUUAUUCUCUUUCCCAAUGUCCCUGUUUGUUUUUCCUAAUUUCAUUGGAACAACUUAAAUCAGUAGAUUCUUCAAGAGAUGAUGGGGUCAUGUUUUCUGCUCGAAUCAGCAUCCUUGUUGAUUCCAGCAUCUUGCCAACCACGUCAUCAUGUUCGCCUCAAACCGUUUUGGGCAUUGUUUUGGAUCCUAACGCUUUGAUCAACAUCUUGAGGGGGCUCCUCUCUCUUUUGACAGACCACUUAACCACAGAGCAUAGUAUGAGGAUGGUGUCAUGUUGGAAUGAAGGAAUAUGAAUUCAGACAUAAACUUUUGUUACAUGUACUUGUUGAGAAUUUAAUUUGAAAGUGAUUUGAUUUAUUUUGGAAAUAGGAAUUCCUUUCCAUUUACAAUGUGAAUGACUCCCUUGUCUGUCUCUCUAUUAAACGUCAUUAUGUAUUUUGCA